ACUAUUUAUGUAUUUAUGUCCCCAGGGGAGCUCUACACCUCGGAGAAGCAUGGCUCAGAUGAGACGGGGGAUGGUACUGCUGACCGUCCCUUGAAGACGGCCAUGCAGGCCAUGCGCAAGGCUGGCAAGGAGCCUUUCCCCACCAUCUAUGUUGACGCUAAAGAGGAAGGACAGAGUGAGGGGCCCAAGGUGUCGGGCAGCAGCAAUGCAAUAGCCGACAUGGCUCCUUGCCUGCAAGCGCUGGACAUGCAUUUAUGUGAGUCCAGUUACCUUGCAGGCCACCCCGACACAAGCCGACACUCUCGCCCACCAGCGGCUAAGAGGGGGAGCCAUAGCGACAGCAGAGACCCAAGGUGGAGACUCCCAUGGCUACCCCCAUGUCGCACGCUGGUGGAGACACAUUGAGAGUUUUGGCAGCGAGAGGGAGGGGUUUCCUUCUGCUGACCCUGCUGUUCUGGAGCGGUUUAGCUUAGGGGAUGUAUGUUUAUCGCAGAAAUACGAAGUGAUUGCGAAGAGUCAGUUGAAGAAGCUCACAAAACUCUGGAAAGAUGAGUGCAAAAAGAUUGAAGCUCGGCUCAAGAAAGAGAAGGAAGAUGCUGAGAGAGAGGGCGAAGGCCAUUGAGGAAGCCAAGAAGGUCG